rnacentral:rRNA from 1 species
UACGUAGGGGGCAAGCGUUGUCCGGAUUUAUUGGGCGUAAAGAGCGUGUAGGCGGUUUGGUAGGUCCGCUGUGAAAACUCGAGGCUCAACCUCGAGACGCCGGUGGAAACCAUCAGGCUAGAGUCCGGAAGAGGAGAGUGGAAUUCCCGGUGUAGCGGUGAAAUGCGCAGAUAUCGGGAAGAACACCAGUGGCGAAGGCGGCUCUCUGGGACGGUACUGACGCUGAGACGCGAAAGCGUGGGGAGCGAACAGG